CACGUAGGGGACGAGCGUUGUCCGGAUUCAUUGGGCGUAAAGCGCGCGUAGGCGGCUCGGAAAGUCAGACGUGAAAUCCCCCGGCUUAACCUGGGAACUGCGUCUGAUACUGGACGGCUUGAGUAUGGGAGAGGGAUGUAGAAUUCCAGGUGUAGCGGUGAAAUGCGUAGAGAUGUGGAGGAAUACCGGUGGCGAAGGCGGCUAUCUGGCCAUGUACUGACACUGAGACACGAAAGCGUGGGGAGCAAACAGG
rnacentral:rRNA from 1 species